CACCAGAGCCAGACUGGCCAGGGCUUCCCUGAUAUUUUUAACUGAAAGAGCCUCAGCAUGAAGAGUGUGUGCUGGCAUUGGUGGUCAUGGCAGUGGUCAAGGGAGGAGGUGAGAUUUGAGCUGGGCCUUGGAUAUUAUGUCACUAAGCAGAACUGAGGUAAACUCCAGCAUAAAACA